rnacentral:misc_RNA from 1 species
GAUGAAGAACGUAGCGAAAUGCGAUAAGUAAUGUGAAUUGCAGAAUUCAGUGAAUCAUCGAAUCUUUGAACGCACCUUGCGCUCCUUGGUAUUCCGAGGAGCAUGCCUGUUUGAGUGUCAUGAAAUUCUCAACCUUUUCAGCUUUCUUUGUUGAUCAGGCUUGGAUGUGGGAGUAUGUGGGCUUCUCAGAAGUCGGCUCUCCUGAAAUGCAUUAGCGGGACCUUUGUUGCCUGGCUUUGGUGUGAUAAUUAUCUACGCCAUUGUGGUCAAGCAGCUUAAAAUGAGGUUUCAGCUUCUAACCGUCUCCCCUGAGACAACUUUUUGACAAUUUGACCUCAAAUCAGGUAGGACUACCCGCUGAACUUAAGCAUAUCAAUAAGCGGAGGA